UACAGAGGUCUCAAGCGUUGUUCGGAUUCAUUGGGCGUAAAGGGUGCGUAGGCGGCGCGGUAAGUCGGGUGUGAAAUCUUGGAGCUUAACUCCGAAACUGCAUUCGAUACUGCCGUGCUUGAGGACUGGAGAGGAGACUGGAAUUUACGGUGUAGCGGUGAAAUGCGUAGAUAUCGUAAGGAAGACCAGUGGCGAAGGCGGGUCUCUGGACAGUUCCUGACACUGAGGCACGAAGGUCAGGGGAGCAAACGGGG
rnacentral:rRNA from 1 species